rnacentral:hammerhead_ribozyme from 1 species
GCAUUGUUGAAGAGUCCCACAUAAUAGAACGAAACGGUCGUCCAGUGC